rnacentral:rRNA from 1 species
UACGAAGGGUGCAAACGUUGCUCGGAAUCAUUGGGCGUAAAGCGCACGUAGGCGGCGCUGCAAGUCGGACGUGAAAUCCCUCGGCUCAACCGAGGACGUGCAUCCGAAACUGCAGUGCUCGAGUAUGGAAGAGGAUCGCGGAAUUCCCGGUGUAGAGGUGAAAUUCGUAGAUAUCGGGAGGAACACCAGUGGCGAAGGCGGCGAUCUGGGAAGAUACUGACGCUGAGGUGCGAAAGCGUGGGGAGCAAACAGG